GCAGCUACCCCACCUGCUGCAGCUUCAAGUCUAGUCCAGAGUCCCGGCCUCAGAUAGGAAGACCCGGAGUCAGAGAGGAGAGCCCUGAAGCAAGUCCAGCUCCUGGAGACGAUGAGGCAAGACAUUACAGCUCGGACAUUUCCAGUGAGUGACAGACAGAGCCACGACUAGAAUUACUAGGAGACUCUUCUAGAACAGCAGAGAUGACUCAGGAGGCCCUGGAAGAUCUCAGCAUCCCAGGAUGGAGAAUCCAGAUGCCAAAUCACCAG